rnacentral:lncRNA from 1 species
UCCUUCUGGGAUUCUCUAUUGGCUGAACUCAGCCAGAAGCUGCCAAGGGAGACCCCCACAACUGGAUGCAGCCCACUGAAGUCAGCUUCCUGGGGUGCGUAGCUGAAGGUAGCAGGGAGCAAAAAGAAUCUGAAGGGGAAGUGAACAAUGUAGAGCGUAUCUGUGCUGAAGACGUAAGGAGAGAGUGGAGGUCAGAAGCUGGCAUGGUCCCUGGUGCAUGUAUCAGCCGCUAAAGAAGUGGAGAGUAUGAACAUAAGCAAGAGGAAGUGAUGAGUAUCCCUUCCAGGAGAACUCUAAGAGGCAGUGAGUGAUUUGCUGGGCUCCCAAGCCCUCUGCUCUGAUGACAGCAAAGCCCCAAAUCAUGGUGCCUCCAUCAGUCGGGACCCCUCAGCAGAGCCAGCUUCACAGCUGGAGUGGAUGAAUCAGAACUUUCCCCAUGGGAGCAUUUAUAAAAAGGGGACACCCAGCGCAGAAGAUGUUUUCCAGGGAGAUCUCGGGGAGCCCAACAAGCCAAGAAGAGCAGAGCAAAGCAUUCCAAGGAAGGACUCUAAGUCUGCAACCGAGCACACACGAGCACAAGGAAAGACCAUGUGAAUACACAGCAAGAACGUGGUGCUCUGCAAGUCAGAAACAGACCCGUCAUCAGACACCA